rnacentral:ncRNA from 3 species
AGCUAGCGGGUGUUUUAUCUGGUA